rnacentral:rRNA from 1 species
GAUAUUUGAUAAUGGGCGAAAGCCUGAUCCAGCCAUGCCGCGUGUGUGAAGAAGGUCUUCGGACUGUAAAGCACUCUCGUUGGGAGGAAGAGUUGUAGGCUAAUACCUUGCAAUUUUGACGUUACCAACAGAAUAAGCACCGGCUAACUUCGUUCCAGCAGCCGCGGUAAUACGAAGGGUGCAAGCGUUAAUCGGAAUUACUGGGCGUAAAGCGCGCGUAGGUGGUUCGUUAAGUUGGAAGUGAAAGCCCCGGGCUUAACCUGGGAAUUGCAUUCAAAACUGACGGGCUAGAGUACGGUAGAGGGUAGUGGAAUUUCCUGUGUAGCGGUGAAAUGCGUAGAUAUAGGAAGGAACAUCAGUGGCGAAGGCGACUACCUGGACUGAUACUGACGCUGAGGUGCGAAAGCGUGGGGAGCAAACAGG